CCCUGCGGGAGGCAGCAGUGGGGAAUAUUGGGCAAUGGGCGCAAGCCUGACCCAGCAACGCCGCGUGAAGGAAGAAGGCUUUCGGAUUGUAAACUUCUUUUCUCAGGGACGAAGCAAGUGACGGUACCUGAGGAAUAAGCCACGGCUAACUACGUGCCAGCAGCCGCGGUAAUACGUAGGUGGCAAGCGUUAUCCGGAUUUACUGGGUGUAAAGGGCGUGUAGGCGGGGACGCAAGUCAGAUGGGAAAACCACGGGCUCAACCUGUUGCCUGCAUUUUGAACUGUG
rnacentral:rRNA from 1 species